rnacentral:rRNA from 1 species
AUACGGAAGGUCCGGGCGUUAUCCGGAUUUAUUGGGUUUAAAGGGAGCGCAGGCGGCCUUUUAAGCGUGACGUGAAAUGUAGGCGCUCAACGUCUGAAUUGCGUCGCGAACUGUUAGGCUUGAGUAGACGGAAUGUCGGCGGAAAUCGGGGUGUAGCGGUGAAAUGCUUAGAUAUCACGAAGAACUCCGAUUGCGAAGGCAGCUGACAGCAGUUUUACUGACGCUCAUGCUCGAAAGUGCGGGUAUCGAACAGGAUUAGAUACCCUGGUAGUCCGCACGGUAAACGAUGGAUGCCCGCUGUUUGCCUUUUUGGUAAGCGGCCAAGCGAAAGCAUUAAGCAUCCCACCUGGGGAGUACGCCGGCAACGGUGAAACUCAAAGGAAUUGGCGGGG